CAAUAGCGUAUAUUUAAGUUGCUGCAGUUAAAAAGCUCGUAGUUGGAUUUCGGGUAGGAAUGGCCGGUCCGCCGUUUCGGUGUGCACUUGCUACGCCCACCUUGCUGCCGGGGACGUGCUCUUGAGUUCACGCUCGGGACACGGAGUCGGCGAGGUUACUUUGAGUAAAUUAGAGUGUUCAAAGCAGGCCUACGCUCUGAAUACAUUAGCAUGGAAUAACACGAUAGGACUCUGGCCUAUCUUGUUGGUCUGUAGGACCGGAGUAAUGAUUAAGAGGGACAGUCGGGGGCAUUCGUAUUUCAUUGUCAGAGGUGAAAUUCUUGGAUUUAUGAAAGACGAACUACUGCGAAAGCAUUUGCCAAGGAUGUUUUCAUUAA
rnacentral:rRNA from 1 species